GCUACGGUGACAGCAAAGAUUGCUAGCAUAGCAGGCUAGCCCGCUAGCUGGCGUUCUAUUUCCGCAGUGUUGGAGAGUCCAAUGACGUGGUAAAAGCAGACCUGCAAGGGUUGGGAUGACAGUCCAGUUUUUCGCCCGGGGACGUGUCUUAAUAGCAUGUCAUUACUACUACAAUAAUUUGAAGCAAUUAACAAUGCUACACGAUUUUGUAGACGGAUGUCCCUGCGCCCCUGGUCACCACAGCUGACAUUUGUGAAUGAGGCAGCUAUCAGGGGUCCUCAUCUGUGUUGCCAUGGUGACGGCCCCUUUCACUCAAUGCCUGAUGAAAUACCCCCCGCCUCCUCCUCCUCUCCCCGUCUCCCUUGUUUAUUCUAACCAAUCAUCUCUCCCUAACGAUAAGGAAGGAACGAGGAAGUGGGCUUGUUCUCAGUCAUCCUGCAUCGUUAGGUAAAGGUUAAACAAAUCUGCUAAUGAGACUUGGCUCACAGAUUAAUGUAGGCCUACCAGGGUGUGGGUCUGUGCAAACUCCCCCUCUCUUGGUAUCCUUCUUCUCUUCCUCCUCUUCCUCAUCCAUCACCUCCUCAUCCAUCACCUCCUCCUCAUCCUUCACCUCCUUCUACAUAUAUUUCUCCUCCUCCACCACCUCCUCCUUUUUCUUCUCCUUUUCCUUCUGCUCCUCUUGCUCCUCCUGUUGGCUCUGAUAAGCUGGACGGGUGGAUUCCCAUAUGGAAAUGAGGGCUUCUGUCCUUCCUGCGUCUUCACGUGUUGACAGGGUCUAGAAGGAGGCGAGGAAGGGCUUGCUGUGGAGGUUUCAUCUGUGUGUGGGAGCAGGCCUGUGCAGUUGGGCCUUUAUACGGUCUGACGUUGAAAUCAUAUUCAAUUACGCUCCCGAUGUCUUGCUAGACCUCACAGAGGAGCUAGUGGGCGACUCCGUUUGCUGUGUGUGUGUGUGUGUGUGUGUGUGUGUGUGUACGAGGGCAGAAGGUGUGUGUGUUUGCACAAAUGACUGGAGGACAUAUUGUGUUAGUCAUCCAGAUUGAGGUGUUUGUUCUUGUAUGUAUGUGUGUGAUAUUGUUCUUAUGUGUGUGUGUU